rnacentral:rRNA from 1 species
GACGAACGCUGGCGGCGUGCUUAACACAUGCAAGUCGAGCGGAAAGGCCCUUCGGGGUACUCGAGCGGCGAACGGGUGAGUAACACGUGAGUAACCUGCCCCAGACUUUGGGAUAACCCUCGGAAACGGGGGCUAAUACCGGAUACGACACAGCUUCGCAUGGGGUCUGUGUGGAAAGUUUUUCGGUUUGGGAUGGGCUCGCGGCCUAUCAGCUUGUUGGUGGGGUGAUGGCCUACCAAGGCGACGACGGGUAGCCGGCCUGAGAGGGCGACCGGCCACACUGGGACUGAGACACGGCCCAGACUCCUACGGGAGGCAGCAGUGGGGAAUAUUGCACAAUGGACGGAAGCCUGAUGCAGCGACGCCGCGUGAGGGAUGACGGCCUUCGGGUUGUAAACCUCUUUCAGCAGGGACGAAGCGUAAGUGACGGUACCUGCAGAAGAAGCGCCGGCCAACUACGUG